UUCCGCCGGGCAUAAACCCGAGUUUAUAGUUAUUCCUCAUCCAAUUCUGAGGUUAGCGGCCGGAGCUGUACUUUCGCAUUCACCGGGCCACGCGUAACUUGAUUAGCGUCGCGGACUCCGUUUAUACGUAUAAGACAUGUUCGCAUUAAUAUUAUGCACGGAACUGACGGGGUUUUCGCCCCUUCGGCCCACCGACCGAACGUAGAUUACCUCUC